rnacentral:sRNA from 1 species
AUAUUGCACGCCUGUGGGGGGAUGAGAACCCCCGACCGGGGUUCGACAACUGGCGACAGCCAGUUGGACAGACCACGAACGCAGUGAGUGGGCUGCCCGUAGGGCGAGCGCAGCGAGUCAAUCCCCCCUCACCGCCA